rnacentral:lncRNA from 1 species
ACCUGCUUUGUCCUAUGUUUAUCUCCACGUGCUGACCGCAGCUCACGGAGCUACUUCUGAGCAGCUGGCCUGAGAUCUGCCAGCCCUGUAACCAUGGCAGCAUAUGUUCAAGUUGUCAUUCAGUGCUCCCAGUGCUGUCGCAGACCCAUGCUGUGGGAACAGCUGUUCCCAAAUCAUGGGUCAAGCCUGGUUUUGGUGGAAAGCAUGGAAUCAAGACUUGGAAAAUUGGGGAAAUGAUUGCAGGGAUCAAAAAGAGGGAAUAAGAAUGAAGACUUCUAAUAAACUACAGACUGAACUGGAAAACUGGUUUAAAAGUGCAGGAGAGAAAGUACAUCCAUUUCCAAGAACCGAACACAGGACUCCUGCUGAGUUGCAAGACUCUGCUCCUCACGCAGACAUAAGAUGUCUCGUUGGUGCCUGGCCGACCUGUAGUGGAAAUGUGGUCGCUGGUGUCGGACGCCUCCUUCAUGUCUUCAAUGCACAGAAUUGAUGACCUUUAGUUUGGGAAGCUUCAGGUGUUUUGGCUUAAGCUGUUGUAAAUCUUCCUUUCAAUCCAGAGUUUAAUUUUCAGUCUUCUACGCAAUAUGGCAGCCAUCCCAUAAACCUUGAUGCACCAUUUCAUGUACUGUUCCCAUGAACUGGAGUUCAUCUUUUUGUUCUUCUCUGCUCUAGACAACGGUUUCCUGUACUUCAAGCAGCUGCUUAUAUUUUAAGGUAUGCUUCUGAGUAGGUACUAAACAGCUGCAUUGCUGUUAAUGUUGUUAUCUCUUUUUUUAGCGGUGAAGGGACGGCUGUCUUGUUUUUUGGCCAAGUGUCUUAUUUACUCUUUAUUUCUUUGUGGAAGAACAACUUUAAUUCUUUGGAAAUGGACAUCCAUAGGGAAAGUGUGAUUUAUGGAGAUCAUACAAUUACUACUUGGUCAGUGAUGGUGCUUUUAUUGUAAUAAUUG